ACGCCGAUGGUGAAACGGUUAUCAUGCUUGCCUUCCAUGGUAUCCUAUGCACACGUCCACUGCGAGCAAGCGGUAGGGAUUCGACUCCCCUUCGGCGUA
rnacentral:tRNA from 1 species